CUACGGGGCGCUGCAGUGAGGAAUAUUGCACAAUGGGGGGAACCCUGAUGCAGCAACGCCGCGUGGAGGAUGACGCAUUUCGGUGUGUAAACUCCUUUUAUAUGUCAAGAAAAUGACGGUAGCAUAUGAAUAAGCACCGGCUAACUCCGUGCCAGCAGCCGCGGUAAUACGGAGGGUGCAAGCGUUACUCGGAAUCACUGGGCGUAAAGGACGCGUAGGCUGUUUAGCAAGUCAGAUGUGAAAUCCAAUGGCUCAACCAUUGAACUGCAUUUGAAACUGCUAGACUAGAGUAUGGGAGGGGGAGAUGGAAUUAGUGGUGUAGGGGUAAAAUCCGUAGAUAUCACUAGGAAUACCUAAAGCGAAGGCGAUCUCCUGGAACAUUACUGACGCUAAGGCGUGAAAGCGUGGGGAGCAAACAGGAUUAGAUACCCGGGUAGUC
rnacentral:rRNA from 1 species